rnacentral:lncRNA from 1 species
AUGAGAGCAGGAGAGGUGAGGGCAGAAGUCUCUAGUAUCUGUGAAGCUCAACCAGUGCUGCCCUGCCCAUGCCUUUGCCUCUCAUAUGGCUGCUGCUGCACCAGAUUUGGGGUAAUAACACAUUUCCUCUUGCUCUGCUUUAGGAUUCCUGCCCUGAUAAGAUUUAACUAUCUGCUAAAGCUGAACAUUAUACAUCUAAGGCCAGACCUCAGUAUUGCAGCUGUUGGCCCAGUUCUGAGCAGUUCAUGAGGACCUGAUUCAGAAUAUUACUGCUGAAGAGUCAUCCUGCAACAGUGAUCAUAACAUGUGCAGAGCGUGGGAGCAACAAGGGAAUGCAGUGCAUCCAUUCAGUGUUGAGAGGCAUGUCAUCGUGAGAAGAGAACUCAGUGCUGCAAAAGGACAGGUGACAGCAGCCAUGAGGAGUAGUAGGAAAAAUUUUGAUUAGACGUAAGGAAAGAAAUAUUUGCUAAAAAAGUUAGGGUAAAGCCCAGGACGUGAUGGGAUCACCAUCCUUGGAGAUUUUUAAAACUGUCUUGCACAAAGGCUUGGCCAACCUGACCUAGGUUUGUAGUUAGCUCUGCUUGGAGCAGGUGACUGUGCAGUAUGAACUCUCAGCCUAAAUCCCUCUUCGAAACUAUGUGGGGUGUUUGUUUGUUUGGUUUGGUUUGUUAUGUUUUGUUUUUUUAAGGCCAUCAAUUAAAUUAACCAUCAUUGCAGACAGCAUGGUGAGCAUCCUGAACAUCACACUGGAAGUUCAGAAUUCAUGCACGCUGGAAGGAAUUUAAGAGAGGCCAGGAAGAAGCUAGCAUGGCUGAACAGUAGUGUAGAGGAGACAAGCAAGAGCAAGGAGCAUCUAUAAUCUUUUACAAAUGAGGAAAAUAGGAAGGAAGAUCAAUGCUGGCAGAUUAAAUGCAAAAGCAUCCUAAGACUGUCCAAACAGUGUAUGAGUAUUAAUUUUUAAAAGACACCAAAACUAGCAAUAACUCUUUUUUGAAUUCUUCAGGAGAUGGAAGGCAGACAAAGAAUCUGCAGACAUAGUAAGGGAUGAGGAUACAGAAAAGGCAUAGAAAAAAAUGACUCAACAGUAGAAAAAGUACAUAUUACCAUUUUAUUAUUUCUGUAUCAUGUUCAACUUGCCAUAAGGAAUAUAAAAAAAAUUGUACCACGAACCUAACUGAGGGAUGUAAAAUUGCUCUAAAAUUUAAGAUAAGAACACUGCAGAUGAGCUAGCAGGAAAAAAAAAAAAAGAAUAAAAAAUCACAAGAUUAAAAGAACA